CAGUCGCCACGGGAAAACGGAGGAUCCAAGCGUUAUCCGGAUUUAUUGGGUUUAAAGGGUGCGUAGGUGGCCUGUUAAGUCAGGGGUGAAAGACGGUAGCUCAACUAUCGCAGUGCCUUUGAUACUGACGGGCUUGAAUGAACUAGAGGUAGGCGGAAUGUGACAAGUAGCGGUGAAAUGCAUAGAUAUGUCACAGAACACCAAUUGCGAAGGCAGCUUACUAUGGUUUUAUUGACACUGAGGCACGAAAGCGUGGGGAUCAAACAGGAUUAGAGACCCCCGUAGUCCCUGUCUCUUAUAC
rnacentral:rRNA from 1 species